GCUGGCUUAACUUGAGUAACCGUGCAAGUGUGGUGGAAAAUAAACAAAAUUAAAGUGUCGAUAAAAAUAAAUAAAGAUUGAUUAUUUUUUGCAAAUUCAAUGAUCCUGACAUGCCUUUAUUCGACAAACAUCGCAGCAGGCUGCUAGUGUACAGGGCAAUAAAUUGAUAUCUCGACUAUAAGCAGAAGAUAAGCAACAAAAGAGUGAAACGAAAAUCAAAGUGAUGACAGUGAUUGGCCUGUGAAACUGUUGGCUAAACCGAAAGAUUACAUCGAUAAGUUCAACUUUCCGGAUCUGCCAAUUUUGCUGCCUCCAUUCUCUGAUUGCACAAUGUAACUUUUAACAUUCUUGGACAAAAGCCCCUGUUUGUCGGUGUUGGCAUUGGCAAGGAAACUCUGCAUGCAAUUGUCGGUAAAGCAAGGGAAGCAGCCAUGUAUUUAACUGCCCGUAUUUUGCAGAGUAUGCUACCGAUCAAAUCCGCGAAAUGUCAGGGAAUCAAAACGGUGAUUAAUAUCAAGUCACCAACGAGUUAAUACCCACCAAGGAAAAAUUGCUUCCAAAUGAAUCCCAACGUAAAAUAAUUUAUAAAAUUUUUUCAUAUCCUGAGUCCAAGUAUCUGUGCACAUUGUUUUAUGCCUCUCUCCAUUAGAUAAAAAAGAUCCGCUACCGAUCACUCAAAUUCCUAAGUUUGACAUCGAUUGGUUCCAACGGCGGCCGAGGAUGCUCAGAUAGGGGUCCCGAAUCACUCACUCAAAGACUACAGAGCUUACAAAAUAAUCCAGUAAUCUUGACAAUGAAUAACAAAGCGAACCUUCUGGUGGAACAGAUAGCGGCAGUAACAUCAUUAGCCAUUAGCAGAAUAAAAAUUGGAAGCUAUACGCCCAUCGCUGAAAGUUGCCGAAGCUGCAUUAAAAACUGCAUUCCUUGCCAAUAUAGUCAACGUACGAAAGCUUAGAAAACUUCCCUAUUUGAUUACAUUGAUAAUAGAUGUCAAGAAAUAAAUUUGUCGAAGAGACAAAUGGCUCCUGAGUUCAGGUCGUGAGCUGCAGUUUAUGUUCGUUUCUUAGGAUACACCUUUGAUGGUAGUGGACAGUUUGCUAUCAGGCAGAUUUAAUCACCUCUACUUUCUAAUAUCUGAUGUAUGCGUCGGAGGCAGCUUAUAGUAAUGGAAUGUCUGCUACAGUGGAUAAUGGCUGUGGCUAAGAUCGACAACAUCUACAAAAGUAUACUUGUCCAUUUAUUCAAGAGUAUCAAAAGAUUAUUCAAAAGUAACUUAAACAUCGUAAAAUGUAAAAUUUAACGGUUAACGAGGCUACAUGAAUACUACAUUUACGUCAUCAUGCAUCUGCCAGCACAACCGAAACGACCCGAUAGAACUGAAUGUUAGAAGCUUUAAAUCGGACACUUUGGUUUGUGAGACUGAACCAACUAACUUUUGUUCUGGUGCCCGCUAGAAGAAAGUCUCUACCGGAAUAGCCUGAAUACACACGAAUCAGGAGGAGUAAGGAGUGCCAAAUGUUGUAGAUAGAAUCACCAAAAACUGCAGGCAGACGAUGCGCACGCUUCCUGUAUCAGGUCGGCUCGUACAAUACCUAUGACCUCAUCAAGCUUGUCACGCUCAACAUUUUUUUCUUGUUUUUAU